UGUUCUUCAGUUUCAGCCAAAAACCAUAACCUCACUGAAGAACGCUAAUGCUCCAAUUCUCAUCGAUUGUUCUUCGCGUUCUCUAAUUUUUUUUUUCUGCUUCAAUUAUUCAUUGAUCUUCUUCUCGGAUCGCGCCGAGCAUCGUUUUCGCUUUGCUGUUUUUCAACUCCGGAGCGUAGGAAGAUGACGAUCGAACGAGUGAGUAGAUUCAGUGAAAAAAAAAAAAAUGCUGAAUCGCUGCAUUGAUUGUCGGUUUUUUGAUUUCGCG
rnacentral:lncRNA from 1 species